AAGAAUAUACUUUCAGGGAUCAUUUCUAUAGUUCAUUACUAGAGAAGUUUCUCUGAUUCUGUGGAGCACCCAAAACCAUGAGAAGGAGCCAGAGGAUCAUCUACUGAGCCUAGAACCUGUUCUAGGUGUUGCUUUUGCAACUCCCCUUUACCAUUGAUGAUGAUUCUUCUCUUCUCUUGGAAGAGGGAGAAGGAGAGGAUGCAGUCUGAGUGUU